AGGCCUGGCGUGACAAUCGGUCUGAGCGGGCGCAGUGGCGGCAGCCGCUGCACCCGCGUGGCUAGAAGCCCACGGUCUGCAGGCGAGUUGAGGUUUCAGGUCAUUCCAGCUUCGGCCGUGGGGCCCCGCUCAGACGCGCGCCUGUCUCCUGGUGAAAUCCUGGAGGCUGUCCUUUCCACCGUCCUGUCUGCACGAGGAGGACACGGGGGUCAGCUUCCUGGGAGAAGGGAGUCGUCCGGAUGGCUGGUCCCCGGAGGGGUGACUUACUGCAUGAACAUCGAAAUCAGAUGAACCCUGACGGCGACAGCGAUGGUAAUAGCGCCACUGGCGGGGUGUAUGGGGGGGUAGCGGGCAAAGCCCGUGGGGCAAAUGUCUUUCUUAAACCCUCCUCAUAAAUCUAAGAUCUCACUGUCACCCACGAGGGGACGGAGCCCGGGGCCUCGGGACCUGAGCUGGUUCUCUGGGUGAGAGGAGGAGGAGGCUUCCUGGGGGGCCGUGUGCCUUUGGCCCGCGUCCUUCACGGUGGCUCUGUCCUCCGGGGGCAGCUGAUCGAACGGGCCUUUCUGUGUGGACAUCACUUGUUCCCAGUGGAGCCCUGGGGGCUAAAAAUAACCAUGUGUUUUCUGUUUUAUCCAAAAAAGAGGAACUGUGCAGUGUGUUUCAUAACAUCUACUAUUUUUGAAAACCUGAAUUUUUUCCACUUUUUUUUAAAUGCCUUUGGGGCUGUCCUUGGAGGGAGAGGCUUUGGUGGAGGUUUCACCAGGGGUCCCUCUGUUUGGUCGUCCAGAUCCUCAGGAAAUGGCUGCAGGAGAAGGGAACUGUCCCCCCGCACACAUGGCCAAGGGGUGGACUUAACACAGGGGUCAUGGGAGGGGAGCCAGAUCUCAGGGGCACCUGAGACCUCAUAGCACAGGCUGGAGGGGAGAAGGGACCGGCCCAGGGGCUGGGCAGGCCUGUUCCGUGUACAGGGGGAGGCGUGCUGACCCCGGCCACAUGCUGCCUCCACGACAGCCAGGCCUCGUGGUCCAGGCUCAGCGUCCAUCUUUCCCCUGACCCCGCUCUCCCAGGUUGGGGCAAGGCCUGAUGCUCCUAAGAUGAGCCACGAGCCAUGAGCCCCCGGGUCCCGGUUGUUCUUGGGUUCCUCUGUUGUUGGCAACCAGGCUAAGAUGGUCAUCCUGGGGUCUGCUGAUGCUAGGGUGGCUCCCUGCCCUUCUCACUGAGACUCUGGAGCGUUAGGAAAUCAUGGAAAGAGCAAACACAGUGAAAGACACGUCGCCCGCAGCCCAGGAAGCUGGAAUGUGGGUGUGGCAUCCCUGAGACCACGCGGGUGUUUCUGGGUGAGCCAAGGGCAGAGGGACCAGGCGGGUGUGGGAGUGGCUGGACGCCAAGAGGACCUGCCCACUGCUGCAACCCAAGGGUAGAGUGGGCCCUUCACACGUGACGUGGCUGCCAGCAUCUGCAGAGGUGAGCAGAGGCAUGGGGCGGAGCAGGAGGUGUUAGAAUGUGUGGCAAGAGCACGAUUCCUCUAGAGUCGGCAGUAAUUUGGAGACUGGAACAGGGACAGACUGACACCUGAUCUCAGUAGACAAGCCAGGAGCAGACCCUUACGGGAAGGCUGAGGCUGUGUCACCAAGCUUAUAGAAACCGUGAGGGAGGGAGGGCAGCUGUGCCUGGAGAGCAGAUUAAUUCUGGGCUGCAGGACUCUGGAUAAGUUAAAGAAAAAGUGCAUCUGCAUCUUUCUAAACCAACUGUGGGGAGUUCCCAUUGUGGCACAGCCAAGACAAAUCCGACUAGGAACCAUGAGGUUUCGGGUUCGAUCCUUGGCCUCGCUCUGUGGGUUAAGGAUCUGACAUUGCCGUGAGCUGUGGUGUAGGUCGCAGACACGGCUCGGAUCCUGCGUGGCUGUGGCUGUGGCGAAGGCUGGUGGCUACAGCUUGGAUUGGACCCCUAGCCUGUGAACCUCCAUGUGC
rnacentral:lncRNA from 1 species